AGGAACAAACUGGAUAAGGCCAAUUGACUAGGAUAUGAGUCAACAAUGCCACGUGAAUUAAUAAAUGAAGGCAAUGAAAUAAAACACGUGAUAAGCAUGUUAAACAUGAAACUCAAAUUGCAAACACACAUGCGCGUAUUCAAACUCAGCUUCCUUUUCUCCGUACCUCCCUCCGUCGUGCCGGAGGCUGUCCUCGGUGGCGGAGGCACCCCAAAAUCAAAUCAAACACCAAUAUCUAACUCAAAUUCCUAUGCUGAAUACGAAUCUACAAGUGGAAUCUCCUAAUUUUGUAAGAACUGCUCAAAUCGAAGAAAAAGGUUGAAGAACCCUAGCGCAGAAAAUUGAAAUUAAAUGGCGCUCGUUUGGAAUCAAAGCCCCGGGUUAGUGAUUUGAUUCUCCUAACCUCUAAUCCCAUCGUGGUAACAAGUAAUUGCGCAAACAGUGGAAAAUAUCGUGAAUUCACCAGUGAAGCACGCACAGUGGUCAACAGAAAUCCAGGGCUGCUUGGAAUUUCGCUUGUGGAUCAUGGGUUUGUCAUGGAAUGGAUGCAAGGAUCAUUGGAAUUGCUUUGGAUUCAAAUUUUGGAAUGUAUUGGAAUGGUCCUAUGUGUAAUCGAAAAUGAAUGCAUGUAAUUUUGUGGUAAUUGGAUGUAUUAUGAAACUUGAUUGCACUUUGAAUGAACCAUGUAUGUAGCAUAUGGACAUAUGUGUUGCAAUUUGUAUUGUGACUUGAUGUAUUUAUUUGAUUCAAAUGGGAAUACCAUGUAAUGUGUGGUUUGGUUCAUUUGUGAUUCUUGCUUGUACAUAGGUUGCUUGGAUUGUGCAAUGGAACUUUUGAUAGGGAACUGUUGUAAUGGUUGUGUUAUUGAAUGAAUUUGGAAUUGGUGUGA